rnacentral:rRNA from 1 species
ACCUCAGUAACGGCGAGUGAAGCGGUAACAGCUCAAAUUUGAAAUCUGGCUCUUUCAGGGUCCGAGUUGUAAUUUGUAGAAGAUGCUUUGGGUGUGGCACCGGUCUAAGUUCCUUGGAACAGGACGUCAUAGAGGGUGAGAAUCCCGUAUGUGACUGGUUGCUUUCGCCCGUGUAAAGCUCUUUCGACGAGUCGAGUUGUUUGGGAAUGCAGCUCAAAAUGGGUGGUAAAUUUCAUCUAAAGCUAAAUAUUGGCCAGAGACCGAUAGCGCACAAGUAGAGUGAUCGAAAGAUGAAAAGCACUUUGGAAAGAGAGUUAAACAGUACGUGAAAUUGUUGAAAGGGAAGCGCUUGCAACCAGACUCGCAUUCCGUCGAUCAUCCGGAGUUCUCUCUGGUGCACUCGGCGGUAUUCGGGCCAGCAUCGGUUUGGGUGGUGGGAUAAAGGCCUUGGGAAUGUAGCUUCUUUCGGGGAGUGUUAUAGCCCUCGGUGCAAUGCCGCCUACCUGGACCGAGGACCGCGCUUCGGCUAGGAUGCUGGCGUAAUGGUUGUAAGCGACCCGUCUUGAAACACGGACCAAGGAGUCUAACAUCUAUGCGAGUAUUUGGGUGUUAAACCCAUAUGCGUAAUGAAAGUGAACGGAGGUGAGAACCCUUAAGGGUGCAUCAUCGACCGAUCCUGAUGUCUUCGGAUGGAUUUGAGUAAGAGCAUAGCUGUUGGGACCCGAAAGAUGGUGAACUAUGCCUAAAUAGGGUGAAGCCAGAGGAAACUCUGGUGGAGGCUCGCAGCGGUUCUGACGUGCAAAUCGAUCGUCAAAUUUGGGUAUAGGGGCGAA